AUGAAGCUCAUUGGCUGGAACUGUCGUGGCAUGGGCAAGGACCUCAGCAGCUCUACUAAGAUGGAGUACCUCGCAAAAUUGAUGAAUUCCACCUGUGCUCGGGUAACUUUCGUAUCUGAAAUUAGAACAUCAAGGUACAGUUCUUCUCAUCUUAACUCUCGAUUUAAUAAUAACGAUAGCUUCGUAGUUCCAUCUGUUGGUCGUUCUGGUGGUCUUUGGAUACUUUGGUCUGAUGAAGUUUGUGUCUCUGUCAAGUUCUCUAAUCACUAUAUGAUUUUAGCCCUUGUUGUCAAUAAAAUUACCAAUGUGGAAUUUGUUCUGGCUUGUGUUUAUGGAGAUCCCCAUCAUGGCCACACUAACCUAAUUUGGGAUCAUGUUCUAAAUUUUGUUAAUGAUAACAUAGGGAAGCCAAUUGUUUAA
rnacentral:rRNA from 1 species